UACGUAGGCAGCAAGCGUUGUUCGGAAUUACUGGGCGUAAAGAGUGUGUAGGCGGUGCUCUAAGUCUGUUGUGAAAUCUCCCGGCUUAACUGGGAGGGUGCGGCGGAGACUGGAGUGCUAGAGUGUGGGAGAGGUAAGCGGAAUUCCUGGUGUAGCGGUGAAAUGCGCAGAUAUUGGGAGGAACACCAGUGGCGAAGGCGGCUCACUGGACCGGUACUGACGCUGAGGCGCGAAAGCGUGGGGAGCAAACAGG
rnacentral:rRNA from 1 species